UAUUGGUCAAUAGCCUAAGCGGCUGAACCAGCAACUUGGAGGAAUGUAUAGGGAAAGCCGGUAAAAAGGCAAAGUACCUAAUAGUAUUAGUAAUAAAUAUGAAAUUAACUUAGUUAAUUAAAAUUCUAAGUAGAUAUGUGAUUAUGACAAUAUUUACUGAUUUCUUGACAAAGUCACGUGCCAGCAGUCGCGGUAAUACGUGGUAGAUCAGUGUUAUUCAUCUUUAAUAGGUUUAAAGGGUACCUAGACGGUUAAUUAAGCAUAUAAGUGUACUAAUUAUUAACUAGAGUUUAAUGUAAGAAGGUUUGAGUACGGUGAGUGUAGGGAUAAAAUCCUGUUAUACCACUUAGGAACUGGUAAAGGCGAAGGCAACCUUUUAUGUAAAAACUGACGUUGAAGGACGAAGGA
rnacentral:rRNA from 1 species